GUAUUAUAAAUCUUUGCUAUUGUUAUUUAGUGUUAAAAUAUAAAUGAGAAAAAUAUUUUUAUAUAAAAAAAGUAAGUAGAAAUCUAAAAUUUUGAAUCGAAAACUGAGAUGAAGGCUAGAGUUAAAAGUAUUGUAAAAGAAUAGUGAAAUAAAUGAAAAUUUAAUAAUAAGAAAGCAAAAGUAAAUUUUUGUACCUUGUGUAUCAGGGAAAAUUAAAAUUUUAAAAGUAGUUUUUUGAUCCCGAAAAAGGAAGAGCUAAAUUGAUAAAAAGGUUAUUGUGGCAUAAAUAUCUUUAAUAUUAAUUUAGUGGUGAAAUGUUAAACGAUUCCUUUGAUAUCUGGUUUUUAGAGAAAUGAAUUUAAUUCAGUUUUAAUAUUUAAAGAAAGUUAAAUGUAAGAAUAGGAGGGUUGAGCUUCUUAUUCAAAAUAUAAAAAAGUAUAGAAGAAAUUUAUUUAAUAGUUGAAUUAGGCUUAGAAGUAGCCAUAUGAAUAAAGUGUUUUAACUAAUUUUUGAGUUAAAGUUAUUUAUAUUCUUCUUGUAUUUGUAUCUAAAAAUGUUGAUAAUCUUUGUAUUUAUAGAUAAAAUGAUUUUAUUAGUAGAAAAUUUUGUAAAUAGUAAAAUAUUAAAAAAUUAACAAAUUUUAAAUAUUGAUUGGUGUGGGUUAAGGAACUCGGCAAAUAAAGCUUCUGCCUGUUUAUCAAAAACAUGUCUAUAUGAUGGUUUAUAAAGUCUAACCUGCCCACUGGGAUCAAACUAAAGGGCCGCGGUAUUUUAACCGUGCGAAGGUAGCAUAGUCAUUAGUCUCUUAAUUGGAGGCUUGUAUGAAUGGUUGGACAAGAAGCAAACUGUCUCAAACACAAAAAUUGAAUUUGACUUUUAAGUGAAAAGGCUUAAAUAUUUUAAAGGGACGAUAAGACCCUAUAAAGCUUAAUAAUUUAGUAUAUAAUUAGAUGAGUUGAAAGUUUAAUAUUAUUUAUAUACUAAAUUAUUUCGUUGGGGCGACGAUGAUAUAAUUUGUAACUGUUUAAAUUUAAAAUACAGAGAUAUUUGUGUGUAAUGAUCCUUGUUGUUGAUUAAAAAUUUAAGUUACUUUAGGGAUAACAGCGUUAUUUAUUUUGAGAGUUCAUAUCGACAAAAAAGUUUGCGACCUCGAUGUUGAAUUAAAAAUUCGCCAUGGCGUAGGAGUUGUGGAGGUAGGUCUGUUCGACCUUUAAAUUUUUACAUGAUUUGAGUUCAAACCGGCGUGAGCCAGGUUGGUUUCUAUCUUUUAAGAAAAUAAAAAUUACUUUAGUACGAAAGGAUUUAGUAAUUAAAAUAAUUUUUAAGUAUAGAUUAACUAU